rnacentral:rRNA from 1 species
AGUGAACGCUGGCGGUAGGCCUAACGCAUGCAAGUCGAACGGCAGCACAGUAAGAGCUUGCUCUUACGGGUGGCGAGUGGCGGACGGGUGAGGAAUACAUCGGAAUCUACUUUUUCGUGGGGGAUAACGUAGGGAAACUUACGCUAAUACCGCAUACGACCUACGGGUGAAAGCAGGGGAUCUUCGGACCUUGCGCGAUUGAAUGAGCCGAUGUCGGAUUAGCUAGUUGGCGGGGUAAAGGCCCACCAAGGCGACGAUCCGUAGCUGGUCUGAGAGGAUGAUCAGCCACACUGGAACUGAGACACGGUCCAGACUCCUACGGGAGGCCGCAGUGGGGAAUAUUGGACAAUGGGCGCAAGCCUGAUCCAGCCAUACCGCGUGGGUGAAGAAGGCCUUCGGGUUGUAAAGCCCUUUUGUUGGGAAAGAAAAGCAGCAGGUUAAUACCCCGCUGUUCUGACGGUACCCAAAGAAUAAGCACCGGCUAACUUCGUG